GCUUGCUUCAGCAGCACAUACUAAAAUUGGAAUUAUACAGAGAAGAUUAGCAUAGCAUAGACCCUGCACAAGAAUGACACACAGAUUUUGUGAAGUGUUUCAUAUUUUU